UUCAGGAGUGCACACUCAAAUCUCACAUAAACUGCUUGCAAAAUCGCCUUUCUCUUUUGCUUUCAAUUUAGUUUAACUUCUGUAUUUGUGCAAUACCUAUAAAAGAGAACAAUCACUGUCAUUUAAUAGGUUAGAAAUCAGAGUUUGGUUGGGACUCAAUUUCUGAUCUUCUAUCGUAGUUGAGUCCUUGAAGAUAUCAAACUCUAACACUCUCUUUAUCCGGAUUGUGUUCUCUUCAUAUAAAGAGACUUUCUCCCCUUAUCCAAUAUGCAACCUUUUCGAUCAGAUCAGGAGAUAUUGAUGUUUGAUCAAUAUGACUUAUCUCCUUCACGUGCAUCUCACAUAUGUAGGUUGAUCAUGACAGUGCUUCACAAGAUGGACCUGGUCCAUGACUGAGUUCAUUUGUCAUUCUUCAAAACUUCACUUGUUCUUGGGCCAACAGUACCAUACUCUGCAACCAAAUCAAUGCUUAACCACGUCUUUUCCUCUAAAAUAAGCCCUCAAACUAAUCAAAUCUAACCAAAUAUAGUUCAAAUAAAUAGGCUUUAUAAACUACCCACGGGUGAAAAAUAUUCAAUCUUUAAUGAUUUUGGAAAAAGUCAACAAAAGUUAAUUCCUGGCUCGCUUGGUCAAAACCUGAGAUUUGGAUUAAAACUCAAUUAGCCAUUCAUUCAGAGCCUGAUUAUGUGAUUAGUUUCGAAAGCCGACCUCAAUUUGAAGUAUAAAUCUCAAUUUCUCAAAAUCCCCAAAUUUUACCUAAAUUCUUAAUUUCUACCAUGUCUAGGAGACUAGAUGGGUGGGGAACAGGGCUCGGGAGGCUGGUGGGUUUAAGUUGUGGUAUUCAGGGAGGGUGAGAGGGAAGAAUAGGGUAGGCAUUUUAGUUGAUAAGGACCUAAGGGAGCUAGUGGUAGAGGUUAAGAGGGUGAAUGACAUGAUGAUGGCCGUUAUGAUAGUCGUGGGUAGGUAUACUCUGAACGUAGUUAGUGCAUACGCGCCUCAGGUGGGUUUGGACGAGGAGGUUAAAAGACAAUUCUAGGAGGAUUUGGAUGGGUUGGUACGGGGUAUACCGUCCACCGAAAAACUUAUUACAGGGGGUGAUUUUAAUGGCCACAUAAGAAGGUCCCCUGGGGGAUAUGCCAGUGUGCAUGGUGGUUUUGGUUUUGGAGAUAGAAACGGAGGAGGUACUUCGCUUCUGGAGUAUGCUAAAGUUUUUGAGCUAGUGAUUGCUAACUCGUAUUUCCCGAAGAAGGCGGAGCACUAAUAACUUUUCGGAGUACGGUGGCCAAGACCCAGAUUGACUAUCUGGUUCUCUGGAAAUGUGAUAGAAGUCUAUGCACGGAUUGCAAGGUCUUCCCGAGUGAGAACCUUACGACCCAACAUAUGCUUUUGAUAAUGGACUUAGAGAUCAGGUGGACAAGGAAGAGGAGGGCUAUGUCUGAAAUUCCUAGGGUCAGGUGGGGUGCAUUAACUAAGGACAAGGCACAAGAGUUGGGGGAGAAGUUGUUGGAUUUGGGGGCCUGGAGGAGUAUCGGGGACGCGAGCUGUAUGUGGUCAAUGAUAACAAAUUGUAUUAGAGAGGCGGCGAGAAAGGUGUUAGGGGUCUCAAAGGGUUUAUCUGGUGGCUAUAAAGGGGACUGGUGGUGGAACGGAGAGGUGCAAGGAAACAUGGAAUCAAAGAAAGCGUCAUAUUUGAAGCUAGUAGAGAGUAUAGACGAGGGGCAGAAGAGUGCCAACAGGGAGGGGUACAAGAAGGCUAGGAGAGAGACGAAUUUGGUGGUUACGGCAGCUAAAGCCGUGGCGUUUAGUUGUUUAUACGAAGAAAUUAGGGUUAAAGGUGGGGACAAGAAAUUGUAUAGACUAGCUAAGGUGAGGGAGCGGAAGGCCCGGGAUCUGGACCAAGUGAGAUGCAUAAAAGACGAGGAGGGAAGAGUUUUAUUGGAAGGGGCACAGAUCAGGCAGAGAUGGCAGGCAUACUUCCAUAAACACUUGAACGAGGAGGGAGAUAGGGGCAUCACAUUGGGGGAGUUGGAUUACUCAGAGAGGCAGCAAAAUUUUGGGUAUUGUAGGUGCAUACGAGUGGGGGAGGUGGAAGAGGCUAUGUGCAGGAUGAGUAGGGGUAGAGCGACUGGGCCAGACGAGAUCCCGGUGGAAUUCAAGAAGAGUGUGGACAAGGAGGGCUUGGAAUGGCUUGCUAGGUUGUUUAACGCCAUUUCUAGGACGAAGAAGAUGCACGAAGAGUAGAGGCGAAGUACGAUGAUCCGGUUGAACAAGAACAAGGGGGAUGUCCAAAACUGCAACAACUAUAGGGGUAUCAAGUUGUUAAGUCAUACGAUGAAAGUGUGGGAGAGGGUGAUUGAAGGGAGAUUUAAGAGGUGCGUGUCCAUUUCUGAGAACCAGUUCAGUUUCAUGCUGGGACGGUCAACUACUGAGGCCAUACACACUGUGAGGAUAUUGGUAGAGUGGUAUAGGGCGUUGAAAAAGGAUUUGCAUAUGGUGUUCAUGAACUUGGAGAAAGUCUAUGACAAAGUACCGCGAGAAGUUCUAUGGAGAUAUUUUAAGGCAGGAGGUGUGCCUGUAGCAUAUAUUAGAGUGAUCCAGAACAUGUAUGAUGGGGCGAAGACACGGGUAAGGACAACAUGAGGAGACUCUGACUACUUUUCGGUUAAGAUAGGGUUGCAUCAGGGAUCAACACUCAGCUCGUUUUUGUUUUCCCUAACGAUGGAUUCUUUGAUGCGUCACCUCCAAGGGGAGGUGCCUUGGUGAUUGUUAUUUGCGGAUGACAUAGUCCUGAUUGAUGAGACGCGAGGUGGCAUUAACGAAAGGCUGGAGGUCUGGAGAUGUACUCUAGAGUCUAAGGGUUUCAAGUUGAGCAGGACCAAGACAGAAUACUUGGAGUACAAGUUCAGUGGUGUUACCCAAGAGGUGGGCGGGGAUGUGAGAUUCGAUACGCAAGUCAUUCCCAAGAGAGAGAGUUUCAAAUAUCUAGGAUCUAUAAUUCAAAUAAAUGGGGAGAUAGAUGAGGAUGUUACUUACCGUAUCGGAGCAGGAUGGACAAAGUGGAAACUUGCUUCCGGUGUCUUGUGUGAUAAGAAUGUGCCAUUGAAACUUAAGUUCUACAAGGUAGUGGUCAGACCGAUUAUGUUGUAUGGGGUAGAGUGUUGACCCGUCAAAAAGUCACAUGUCCAGCAUAUGAAAGUAGCAUAAAUAAGGAUGUUGAUAUGGAUGUGUGUGCAUACUAGAUUGGAUAGAAUUAGGAAUGAAUUUAUUUAGGACAAGGUGGGAGUGGCCCCAGUGGAGGCAAAGAUGCGUGAGGCAAGGUUGAGAUGGUUUGGGCAUGUUAAGAGGAGAAGCACAGAUGCCCCAGUCAGGAGAUGUGAGAGGUUGGCCUUGGGAGGUGAGAGGAGGGGUAGAGGUAGACCUAAGAUGCCUUGGGGUGAAGUGAUCAGGCAGGACAUGGCGCAGCUUGAACUGACCGAGGACAUGACCCUAGAUAGAAGGGUGUGGAGGUGAAAGAUUAGGGUGGAAGGUUAGUAGGUAGUUGGGAGUUUCCCUUUGUCUUACCUAUUUCGAUAGUAUUAGUGCUAGUAUGGUACCCUUUUUUCCUUAGUUUGCUAUAGCCGCACGUCUUGUUCUGUUACUACUUACCUCCGGUAAUUCCGUAGUUUGCUAGCAGGACUUUGUCAUAUUCUCGUGUGCUGCCUUGGACUUAUCUGUCUAAAUAUACUAUCUUGAUAUUACUUGUUAUCGGUACUAUCUUGCUAUUCUUUGCUGUUAUCUCCGAUUUAGUUUUCUAAUUAUUUGUCUUGCUAUCACUUGCUAUCAGGGCUUCCUUCACCUUCUUUAGCCGAGGGUCAUUCGAAAACAGUCUCCCUACCCUUAAUGCUACGUACAUCCUACCCUCCCCAGAUCCCACUUGGUGGGAUUAUACUGGGUAGUUGUUGUUGUCCUAAUUUCUACCGUGAAAAAACAUAUAUUAAAGGUUAAAAAUCAACGGAUGUUUAUGGAAAUAUAAGGAAACAAGUUAAAAUCUACUAAUCUAUGAAGUUGGGAUGGAAAAUCUCUUCAAAAUCACCUCUUGGCCGACCUCAAACUUGAAAAUGGUGAAAAAUGAGAAGAAUCCCGAUUUUUAGAAGUUUAAAUCACUGGGCAUCAGGCGUUUUUCGAGUUAAUGAAACACUUGACGUGAUCGCGAAGCACUAGAGGCCAAAAGACUUUUGCGUUCGUGAGAAAUCCUUCGCAUUUGCGAGAAAACCUUCGCGUUCGCAAAGGCUUGCUCCCCCUUCCUUCGGGUUCACGAGCCAACUCAUAUCACACCUCCUUUUUACUACCCCAAAAGGGAUAUAAGGAAGUUUUUCUAAUUUAAGUGACAAUCGAAACGAGAUUAUUUAUAUUAAAAUCAGAGUCGCCACUUGGGAUAAUUUAUGGUGUCCCAAGUCACCGGAUUAAAUCCCGAAUCGAGGAAGUUGACUCUAUUUAUGGUCUGCGAACACAAAAAUUCGUGUAAAGAAUUUUGUUAACCCGGGAGAAGGUGUUAGGCAUUCCUGAGUUCCGUAGUUCUAGAACGGUCUCUUUGAUCAUACUUGGCUUAUAAAAAUUGUCUAAUUACUCAUUAAGAACCUAUGUGCAUUUGCCUUUUUUAAUUAAUAAAUUACCUUGAAACGGGUCACGCGUAUGUGUGCCCAUUUGUUUGGCGCGUCAAAAAUUAUGUCACAUGAAUGUGUCCACAAUUAAUAACAUUUUAUUAUUAUUAAGAAAUAUUUGGUCCAAGUUGCACGAACGCAUACCCCGAUUUUUUUUAUAAGAUCAUAAUCAUGUCACGCGAACGUGUACACAACCACGAUAGUAUAUUAACGUGCCUAAAGCAAAAUACGAAUAUCAUUAUUCUUCCUAAACUUUGAGACUAUUGUGAAGGCCAUGAGUUAUGGAAUUUUUGUAGAAGAAAUUACAGGAUGAUUUGUAGCUUUAUUAUCAUUUUUGGGCCAGCUGUGCAUUUAAUGAAAAACGACCAGCUUGGCUCUUAAAAAUUGGGUCCGACAGAACAACUUCUUUGGCCAUGGAUAUUGGAGACUAAAUUUUGCUUGUUCAAUUAACCUAAAUACUAACUAAGAGAAACAUACAGGUGACAACAAUUGAAACAAAAUAAAUUAAAAUGCCAAAUAUCAUCUGAAAAGAAUGAAGCAAAUGAGAAAAGGAUGUCACAGCUAAAUCUCAUUAUCCUAUAUAAAUAAAAGCGCAGACCCCACGCUCAAUUAACCUUGUAUUAACUCAUACGACCCAUUUUUAAUACCAUUCUCAAUGCCAAACCUUAUAGACCUUUAAUAACUCAAACCCCAUAACUUUUACUUUCAAGUGAGACUCAAUUCACGAUUUAAAAUUACCAACACAAAUAUUGCAAGUUCUAGACAAAUUGAUAUGCCUAAUGAGAAGAGUUAAGACUAACCAAAGCAUGGGUUGUGAAUUUCAACUUGGAGCACAUGGAAGCAAUUGAAAAAAUCAGAAAGGAACCCAGUAAUCCAACCACAAUUCACAUAAAAUCAAAGGAACACUAGCAGAAGACAAUUUCGCACAAAUCCAAGAGAAUACCACGAAAAAAUGGGAAAUAUGUCUUCAUAUAAGAAGUAACAUUGAAAAGUUAGAGAGGACCUCAAUUGAUAUUGUUAAACACCAAUAAUCCAAGAGUAUGAACAAUUUCAGACCGGCUUCUUGCACGGCAACCUCGGCAUGGGCAGCAAUUGAACUCGACUGAACUCAAGCUGGACCGGAACACGACAUAAACUUUUCUUUGUCAAACCCUUUUUUCGAAAGUUAUUAUCGACUCCAACAACUGAAACGAAACUCGACUACUUUCAAACUGCUCUGUUUUCAGAUCUGUUUUUAUUCAUUUUUCAUCCGCCUCUGUGCGUUUUCGUGUGUGUCUUUGUGUGGUGAGAUGAGAGGGUUGGGGUGUAAAUAUGAAGAAGAGGCCGUCCCUAGAGGAUGUUCCAGAGAUCGAGCCAGGUGAUCGUUGGUUUCUGGCGAAGAUGGUGAGCUGAGCGUUUUUUGAGUUCUGGUGUUUUUCGCUGGGAGAUGGGGUUCUUGGAGUGGAGGUCCGGCGAUUUGGUGGAGGUCUACGGUGGUUCCGAGUUCGCUGGUUCUUUGCUAGUGUUGAAGAAGAUGAAGAACGGGGGGCUGUUUGGGUGUCAAGCAGUGGACUUUUGUCUUUUGAACAGAGGGUCCUUUAGGGUGGGGUUUAUGAAGAAGACGAGGUCAGGGGUGUGUGGUUUCCUUGUACUGCGGCGUAUUUAGUCUCUUAGGUUAUUUUUUCAAUUCUUAG
rnacentral:lncRNA from 1 species